AAAAAAAAGCUUCGCUUUUAAAACAAAGCUUGACGUUGCAGAGUCGACAGACGUCCACAAAUUUGCGAAUGCAGUUUGUGAACAAGAAGCCAGCUGUGGUAUACAACUUGAUGACGGUCUGAAGCAAACUUAUUCUGUUGGUGUAUGAGUGAAUACCACUCACACACCGUGAAAUUUGAACUUGCUUUACCACUGGACAAGAACAGCUUCAGCACGGACGUGAUGUUGCAGCAAUGCACAUUUGCCAUUCAACAUUUCUCGCUAUUGCAGUUGCUGCUGUUAUGAUUUAAAUACCAGAAUCUCAUCACCUUCUCCAAGUUUGAAAUUCUGUGCUGUAUAUUUGAUUUUGUAAGAGAGGUGACCCACUGUCAUGUUCUGCUGGUGAGCACAAGGUCACAGAUUUGAAUCUCAGCUGCUGUGGUCAUAUUUUAAUGGGAAUGGAAUGCAAGAGUGCUCAUGCGUCAAGCAUACUGAUUUUGUACAAACGUACCGAGUCAUUAAGUGCUACGCGUAAAGCCUGUAAUUUAUUAAACGUUUUUAAAAAUGUACAUCGCUGCCGAUCGCACUACACCGCUCAGUGGGAUUUUCAGCCGCCCCUACCCAUAUGAGUUAAAUCACCCAAUUGACGUCAGUAGGGCGAGCUAUCCAAUUGACUGCCCGGGGCGCAUCAUUGAUAAUUUUUCCACCUUUAUGGUGAACAAAUGAUGUUCGUAAUAGUUGGAAUGUUAGUUAAUUUGCUUCUAUAGAAAGGAAGUAGCAGAAAGAGAAUGCACAAGAACAAUUUCACUACACUUAAGCACCUCCGGCACACAGCAAGCGUCGUCUGCUUGUGUUACAACAUGCUCCAUUUUGACGAGAGCUCCGUGGUCAGAGUCGGUCUGUCUUUUCGCGAGCACUAUAAUUCGAAUUUGUUGCAUUGUGGACUGCAAACAUAGCGACUGGCAAUAUGUCAAGCUGAGGCAUGUCCCUCUGCAAGGCAGCAGACGAGCGAACUGGCUGCAGCACCAGGAUUUGCGUGUUUACGGCCGUCACUUCACACUGGAAGAUUACUAACGCAAUAGCGUUUCGCGAGUCCGGUAUUAGGGUAAAUGCAAGCGCAAGGGAACAGGGCCUGGCGGUUUGACCGCGUCGUUCACGGGAUGAGCAGAAGCGCAGAUGUGAAUGGUCUGCACGAUGCAGCCACCUGGUGGCACAGAGCUCAAUCGCACACAGUAGCAGCAACGAAAUGUAUUCUUUGCUGCUGGCGUAAAUUUUUCGCAGAAGUGUAAUCAUUAACACAUUGUUUUUGUAAAUGUUUAAGAUGUUUUACACUUGGUUAGAGCGAUAUUAGCUCUUUGUUUGGCUGGUUAAGCUCUGCGCCAAUGGGUGGCUGGACCGUGGAUACCGAUCAGGUACGUCUACGCUAAAGUUCCUUCAUCAGUUUGAGUUUAUGCCUCCACCGUUCCGUCGAAAUUCGCAGCUCGCUUGUGGUUACCGGAAUACCAGACACGUUCGGCGCUGCGACAGAAUGCUCGCAACGCACGCUCUCGCUUGGGGUCAACUGCCAAGCAGCUGGCGGAGAGUUUGGAGAGGCUUCGUGCACUCGCUCCUAGAGAACCAGAAGUCAACACGACGUGCCAUCAUGAUGCAGAGCCAGUGAAGGCGGAGCUUAGCCCCGAUCACUCGGCGAACGAGUUGAGUAGAAAAUACAUGACCGUGGAGGAGGGUAACUUGUAAUCGUCUGUAGCUCUCUUAAUAUGAGAUGCAUCACACAAAUUGUGGCGCGAAUGAUUAACUUUGCCUCUACCCUACGCGUCUACAAAAUUUGUCCAAACCAUUUCAGGGGCCCUUUAAAGAAUAGCAGUUGGUCAAAAUUCAUUCAGAGCCUUACACUUUGCUUCAGCAAACAUUUGCAUCCACUUUUUCUCGGUGUUUGACCACCUUGUUUUCGAGUUGCAGAUGGCAUCUUUUACCCUUCUGUUGGUUUCUUGAACUCAAGCAUGGUGCUAAACAAAAAUGGGUCUUAACGCGCACUCUGCUUGGACAUAGCAUCACAAGCUGUCGCUACUGGCACUGUUACUGCCGUCCAGGUCUACAAUUGCCUGGUGUUCCAUGAAGGGAAAUCCACGACUGUUCAGCUACCACUCAAGUUGGACCGGGUACUUCCCAGUGAGGCAUGCUGUGCAGUGGCCGACCUCCUUGUUGCCACCGUUGGG